GGAAAAAAAAAUUAGCAAGCGAAAUGAAAUAUAGAAUAGCAUAUCACAAGAAUGAUAGGAAGAAAUGCAAUAGAGAAGAGAAAUGAAAGUAGGAAAAUGGCUAAUUCAUACAACUAUAUGUUUAAUUUAAUCCUCUCUCCCUUUUAAUCACUUCAUCGCAAGGCAUGUCAGAUACCAAUAAAAGGUGUGUCCUUGUGCACAAGGGUUUAGGAAGGGUCAAACAUAUUAAAUACGAGAAACCAAGAAACCAAAUUCUUAGGAAAAAGGUUAGCCGAUAUAGUUGUCAUCAGUAUUUCGGUUUGCAGCCAUCCCUUCAAUUAAAACAUCAGGUUUCGUGGGUAGGGGUUAAGAAAACUAGAAGGCAUCUAAAAGAGAUGGAUUUCAUUCAAAACAAAAUUAAUGCAUUUAAUCACUUUAAGAAGAAUCAAACCAAUCCAGUUGACAAUUAUCGGUAGAGUGGAAUGGUAAUAGAGCACCUUCUCUAAUAUCAAUGAUGAC
rnacentral:misc_RNA from 1 species